GGCCUUGCGCUCUUUGAGCGGCCGAUGUCAGAUUAGCUAGUUGGUGAGGUAAAGGCUUACCAAGGCGACGAUCUGUAGCGGGUCUGAGAGGAUGAUCCGCCACACUGGAACUGAGACACGGUCCAGACUCCUACGGGAGGCAGCAGUGGGGAAUUUUGGACAAUGGGGGCAACCCUGAUCCAGCCAUGCCGCGUGAGUGAAGAAGGCCUUCGGGUUGUAAAGCUCUUUCGGCCGGGAAGAAAUCGCAUGGGCCAAUACCCUGUGUGGAUGACGGUACCGGAAUAAGAAGCACCGGCUAACUACGUGCCAGCAGCCCGGUAAUACGUAGGGUGCGAGCGUUAAUCGGAAUUACUGGGCGUAAAGCGUGCGCAGGCGGUUUUGUAAGACAGGCGUGAAAUCCCCGGGCUUAACCUGGGAACUGCGUUUGUGACUGCAAGGCUAGAGUACGGCAGAGGGGGGUGGAAUUCCACGUGUAGCAGUGAAAUGCGUAGAGAUGUGGAGGAACACCAAUGGCGAAGGCAGCCCCCUGGGUCGAUACUGACGCUCAUGCACGAAAGCGUGGGUAGCAAACAGGAUUAGAUACCCUGGUAGUCCACGCCCUAAACUAUGUCAACUAGGUGUUGGGUGGGUAAAACCAUUUAGUACCGUAGCUAACGCGUGAAGUUGACCGCCUGGGGAGUACGGCCGCAAGGUUAAAACUCAAAGGAAUUGACGGGGACCCGCACAAGCGGUGGAUGAUGUGGAUUAAUUCGAUUCAACGCGAAAAACCUUACCUACCCUUGACAUGCCAGGAACUUGCCAGAGAUGGCUUGGUGCCCGAAAGGGAGCCUGGACACAGGUGCUGCAUGGCUGUCGUCAGCUCGUGUCGUGAGAUGUUGGGUUAAGUCCCGCAACGAGCGCAACCCUUGUCGUUAAUUGCCAUCAUUUAGUUGGGCACUUUAACGAGACUGCCGGUGACAAACCGGAGGAAGGUGGGGAUGACGUCAAGUCCUCAUGGCCCUUAUGGGUAGGGUUUCACACGUCAUACAAUGGUCGGUACAAAGGGUUGCCAAGCCGCGAGGCGGAGCCAAUCCCAGAAAGCCGAUCGUAGUCCGGAUUGCAGGCUGCAACUCGCCUGCAUGAAGUCGGAAUCGCUAGUAAUCGUGGAUCAGCAUGUCAUGGUGAGUACUUCCCGGGUCUUGUACACACCGCCCGUCACACCAUGGGAGCGGGUUCCGCCAGAAGUAGGUAGCCUAACCGCACUGGGGGCGCUUACCACGGCGGGGUUCGUGACUGGGGU
rnacentral:rRNA from 1 species